rnacentral:rRNA from 1 species
UACGAAGGGGGCUAACGUUGCUCGGAAUCACUGGGCGUAAAGCGCACGUAGGCGGGUCUUUAAGUCAGGGGUGAAAUCCUGGAGCUCAACUCCAGAACUGCCUUUGAUACUGAGGAUCUCGAGUCCGGGAGAGGUGAGUGGAACUCCGAGUGUAGAGGUGAAAUUCGUAGAUAUUCGGAAGAACACCAGUGGCGAAGGCGGCUCACGUGGCCCGGUACUGACGCUGAGGUGCGAAAGCGUGGGGAGCAACAGG